AUUGAACGCUGGCGGCAGGCCUAACACAUGCAAGUCGAGCGGAUGAGGGGAGCUUGCUCCUGGAUUCAGCGGCGGACGGGUGAGUAAUGCCUAGGAAUCUGCCUGGUAGUGGGGGAUAACGUCCGGAAACGGGCGCUAAUACCGCAUACGUCCUGAGGGAGAAAGUGGGGGAUCUUCGGACCUCACGCUAUCAGAUGAGCCUAGGUCGGAUUAGCUAGUUGGUGGGGUAAAGGCCUACCAAGGCGACGAUCCGUAACUGGUCUGAGAGGAUGAUCAGUCACAAGGGAAGUGAGACAGGGUCCGGACUCCUAGGGGGGGGAGGAGUGGGAAAUUUGGGAAAAGGGGGGAAAGCCUGACCAAGCCAAGCCGGGUGUGUGAAGAAGGUUUUGGGGUUGUAAAACACUUUAAGUUGGGGGAAGGGGAAGAAAGUUAAAACCUGGCUGUUUGGGCGUUACCAAAAAAAAAAGCACCGGUAAAUUGGGU
rnacentral:rRNA from 1 species